ACUACGGGAGGCUGCAGUAGGGAAUCUUCCACAAUGGGCGAAAGCCUGAUGGAGCAACGCCGCGUGGGUGAAGAAGGUCUUCGGAUCGUAAAACCCUGUUGUUAGAGAAGAAAGUGCGUGAGAGUAACUGUUCACGUUUCGACGGUAUCUAACCAGAAAGCCACGGCUAACUACGUGCCAGCAGCCGCGGUAAGACGUAGGUGGCAAACGUUAUCCGGCAUUUUUGGGCGUAAAGGGAACGAAGGCGGUCUUUUAAGUCUGAUGUGAAAGCCUUCGGCUUAACCGGAGUAGGGCAUUGGAAACUGGGAGACUUGAGUGCAGAAGAGGGGAGCGGAACGCCAUGUGUAGCGGUGAAAUGCGUAGAUAUAUGGAAGAACACCAGUGGCGAAAGCGGCUCUCUGGUCUGUAACUGACGCUGAGGUUCGAAAGCGUGGGUAGCAAACAGGAUUAGAUACCCUGGUAGUC
rnacentral:rRNA from 1 species